AUUGAACGCUGGCGGCAUGCUUUACACAUGCAAGUCGAACGGCAGCGCGGGCUUCGGCCUGGCGGCGAGUAGCGAACGGGUGAGUAAUACAUCGGAACGUGCCCAGUAGUGGGGGAUAGCUCGGCGAAAGCCGGAUUAAUACCGCAUACGACCUGAGGGUGAAAGCGGGGGAUCUUCGGACCUCGCGCUAUUGGAGCGGCCGAUGGCAGAUUAGCUAGUUGGUGGGGUAAAGGCCUACCAAGGCGACGAUCUGUAGCUGGUCUGAGAGGACGACCAGCCACACUGGGACUGAGACACGGCCCAGACUCCUACGGGAGGCAGCAGUGGGGAAUUUUGGACAAUGGGCGAAAGCCUGAUCCAGCAAUGCCGCGUGUGUGAUGAAGGCCUUCGGGUUGUAAAGCACUUUUGGCGGGAACGAAAAGGACUGUGCCAAUACCACGGUUCGAUGACGGUACCCGCAGAAUAAGCACCGGCUAACUACGUG
rnacentral:rRNA from 1 species